UACGAAGGGGGCUAGCGUUGCUCGGAAUCACUGGGCGUAAAGCGCACGUAGGCGGAUUGCUAAGUCAGGGGUGAAAUCCUGGAGCUCAACUCCAGAACUGCCCUUGAUACUGGCGGUCUCGAGUCCGGGAGAGGUGAGUGGAACUGCGAGUGUAGAGGUGAAAUUCGUAGAUAUUCGCAAGAACACCAGUGGCGGAGGCGGCUCACUGGCCCGGUACUGACGCUGAGGUGCGAAAGCGUGGGGAGCAAACAGG
rnacentral:rRNA from 1 species